rnacentral:rRNA from 1 species
GUUUAUAGCCAUACCACCCCGAAUGCACCCCAUCUUGUCUGAUCUCGGAAGCUAAGCAGGGUCAGGUGUGGUUAGUACUUGGAUGGGAGACCACCUGGGCCUACUGGGUGCUACAGGCA